UACGGAAGGCAGCAGUGGGGAAUAUUGCACAAUGGGCGCAAGCCUGAUGCAGCCAUGCCGCGUGUAUGAAGAAGGCCUUCGGGUUGUAAAGUACUUUCAGUCGUGAGGAAGGUGUUAAGGUUAAUAACCUUAGCAAUUGACGUUAGCGACAGAAGAAGCACCGGCUAACUCCGUGCCAGCAGCCGCGGUAAUACGGAGGGUGCGAGCGUUAAUCGGAAUUACUGGGCGUAAAGGGCACGCAGGCGGUUAAUUAAGUUGGAUGUGAAAUCCCCGGGCUUAACCUGGGAAUGGCAUUCAAGACUGGUUAGCUAGAGUCUUGUAGAGGGGGUAGAAUUCCAUGUGUAGCGGUGAAAUGCGUAGAGAUGUGGAGGAAUACCGGUGCGAAGGCGGCCCCUGGGACAAGACUGACGCUCAUGUGCGAAAGCGUGGGGAGCGAAACAGGAUUAGAUACC
rnacentral:rRNA from 1 species